UUUUAAUUGAAAGCUUGUAUGAACGGUUGGACAAAGGAUAAACUGUCUUUAUGGUUAUUUUUGAAUUUAUCUUUUGAGUGAAAAGACUCAAAUAUUUAAAGGGACGAUAAGACCCUAUAAAGCUUAAUAUUUUUUAUGCUUAUUCUAAUUUUUUUUUGUUGAAGUGGUUAGGGAUAAUAAAAUAUUUUAUUGGGGUGAUAAGAAUAACUAAUAAACUGUUCUUCGUCAAACAAAUUUAUUUGAGCAGCAAAGAUCCUUAAUAGAGAUUAAGAGUUUAAGUUACUUUAGGGAUAACAGCGUUAUUUUUUUUGAGAGUCCUAAUCGAAAAAAAAGUUUGCGACCUCGAUGUUGAAUUAAAAUUUCUCUAUGGUGAAGCAGCUAUGGAAAGUAAGUCUGUUCGACUUUUAAAAUUUUACGUGAUCU
rnacentral:rRNA from 1 species